AAGGAGUCUAACAUCUAUGCGAGUGUUUGGGUGUCAAGCCCAGACGCGUAAUGAAAGUGAACGGAGGUGGGAACCUUUUAGGUGCACCAUCGACCGAUCCUGAUGUCUUCGGAUGGAUUUGAGUAAGAGCAUGGCUGUUGGGACCCGAAAGAUGGUGAACUAUGCUUGAAUAGGGUGAAGCCAGAGGAAACUCUGGUGGAGGCUCGCAGCGGUUCUGACGUGCAAAUCGAUCGUCAAAUUUGGGCAUAGGGGCGAAAGACUAAUCGAACUAUCUAGUAGCUGGUUCCUGC
rnacentral:misc_RNA from 1 species